rnacentral:antisense_RNA from 1 species
GUGGUUAGCAUUCGUCGCCAACGAGAAAUUGGGGUCGGCCCGAAAGCUCUAGAAUGCACCCCUAUUCCUCCCCGGGGCCAUUCCCGCUCAACGAGUUUUAUGACCUAAAAAACCCCACAGGCUGGUCUGAAGGUCGGAGGCCUAAUUUUAACGCGUUUUCCUCCCUUUAAUUUGAAACGGGAACGCGAAUAACUAAAAUAGGAAGACACUUAAAGAUGAAGUGCUUAAUUCAAGGUCACAGAAUGUCGGGGAUGGACCUCCAGAUUUCCUUACUGACCUGCAUUAUCUUGUGGAUACCUGAGUGAAUUCCACACCACCCAUUUUAUAGAUGAAGCCACUGAGACGUGGAGCAACUGACUGAGUAGUCACUGCCCCACCCCUGCCUGGAGCCUCACACAUGACUUCUCUUAGUGACCACAGGUUGGUUGAGGGGUUUAACAAGGCUAAGAAGUACUUAUCCUGUAUUACAUGAGGGAAAUGAAAUAAAAAGACUGCAACCCUCCUCCCAGCUACUCUAGUGAGGUGGUAGCUAGAGACAGAGUCUUCUUGCUAUGUUGCCCAGGCUGGUCUUGAACUCCUAACCUCAAGCGAUCCUCCCAUCUUGGCCUCCCAGGUGUCAGGAUUACAGGCAUGUGCUAUCACACCCAACCUGAUACAUUGCCUUUAUAAAUUUUUUUUUCUUUAUUCUAAAAAACAGAAAAAACAAAACUGGAUACAUGUGCAGAACAUGCAGACCAAGUGUGUUGGGGACUUGAGAUAUGUACAUGAGUGUUUGUGAUGUUUCCUGGUGAAAGCACAGGUGAGACGUGGUCUUGUAACACAGUGGUUAAGAAUGUGACUUUGGAGCCAGCCUGCUAGGGGCUGAAUUCUGACUCAGCCAUUUAUUAACUGUGUGACCUUAGGGAGGAGGACCUGGUUGAUAGAAGAAUUUAUCUCAUAGUCUUAACAUCCACUGUAAUUCCGAACUUUGAGGACGAUAGAGAUCAGUGGGCUUUGACUGCCCAGCAUGCAGUCUCCAUU